rnacentral:rRNA from 1 species
UAGUUCGGUGGAGCCGUCCUUUGAAAUACCACCCUGGUUUGUUUGAGGUUCUAACCUUGGCCCGUGAUCCGGGUCGGGGACAGUGCAUGGUAGGCAGUUUGACUGGGGCGGUCUCCUCCCAAAGCGUAACGGAGGAGUACGAAGGUACGCUAGGUACGGUCGGAAAUCGUGCUGAUAGUGCAAUGGCAUAAGCGUGCUUAACUGCGAGACCGACAAGUCGAGCAGGUGCGAAAGCAGGUCAUAGUGAUCCGGUGGUUCUGUAUGGAAGGGCCAUCGCUCAACGGAUAAAAGGUACUCUGGGGAUAACAGGCUGAUACCGCCCAAGAGUUCAUAUCGACGGCGGUGUUUGGCACCUCGAUGUCGGCUCAUCUCAUCCUGGGGCUGUAGCCGGUCCCAAGGGUAUGGCUGUUCGCCAUUUAAAGAGGUACGUGAGCUGGGUUUAAAACGUCGUGAGACAGUUUGGUCCCUAUCUGCCGUGGGCGUUGGAUAUUUGAAGGGGCUGCUCCUAGUACGAGAGGACCGGAGUGGACGAACCUCUGGUGUACCGGUUGUCACGCCAGUGGCAUCGCCGGGUAGCUAUGUUCGGAAGAGAUAACCGCUGAAAGCAUCUAAGCGGGAAACUCGCCUUAAGAUGAGAUAUCCCUGGAGGCUAGACCUCCUUGAAGGGUCGUUCGAGACCAGGACGUUGAUAGGUCAGGUGUGUAAGCGCAGUAAUGCGUUCAGCUAACUGAUACUAAUUGCCCGUAAGGCUUGAUCCUAUAACA